GAUGAACGCUGGCGGCGUGCCUAAUACAUGCCAGUCGAGCGAACAGACGAGGAGCUUGCUCCUCUGACGUUAGCGGCGGACGGGUGAGUAACACGUGGAUAACCUACCUAUAAGACUGGGAUAACUUCGGGAAACCGGAGCUAAUACCGGAUAAUAUAUUGAACCGCAUGGUUCAAUAGUGAAAGACGGUUUUGCUGUCACUUAUAGAUGGAUCCGCGCCGCAUUAGCUAGUUGGUAAGGUAACGGCUUACCAAGGCGACGAUGCGUAGCCGACCUGAGAGGGUGAUCGGCCACACUGGAACUGAGACACGGUCCAGACUCCUACGGGAGGCAGCAGUAGGGAAUCUUCCGCAAUGGGCGAAAGCCUGACGGAGCAACGCCGCGUGAGUGAUGAAGGUCCUCGGAUCGUAAAACUCUGUUAUUAGGGAAGAACAAAUGUGUAAGUAACUAUGCACGUCUUGACGGUACCUAAUCAGAAAGCCACGGCUAACUACGUG
rnacentral:rRNA from 1 species